rnacentral:rRNA from 1 species
UACGAAGGGGGCUAGCGUUGCUCGGAAUCACUGGGCGUAAAGCGCACGUAGGCGGAUUCUUAAGUCAGGGGUGAAAUCCUGGAGCUCAACUCCAGAACUGCCUUUGAUACUGGGAGUCUUGAGUUCGGGAGAGGUGAGUGGAACUGCGAGUGUAGAGGUGAAAUUCGUAGAUAUUCGCAAGAACACCAGUGGCGAAGGCGAACUCUUUGGCCUGUAACUGACACUGAGGCGCGAAAGCGUGGGGAGCAAACAGG